UGCUAAGGCCUGGCCUGGAGAUGGGACAGCCCCGCAUCCUGGGGUGGAUGGGACACCCUGAGACCACCAAGAGGUUCACACAGAACGAGUGUGUCAAAGAAAACUGUACAUGGGCUUAAAGAAGAUCUGUGUGUACUGCUUCAGACACAUGGGCCUCUUAAAAGAAGAUGCAAUUAAGGCCUUUCAGCUGAGGGUGCGCCACAGCUGCAGGGCUGAAGACCCAUUGGCUUCCCCUACAAAGUUAUUAAGGUUAACUCACAGCACUUGCAGCCCUCCUGCAGCAGUUAGAGAGAGGUUUGGGUUGUCUCAGAGCUCAGUUUUUCCCCAUAGCACAAGGGCAAAGUUGUCUUUAACUGCCCAGUCAGACCUACAGGAGGAUGAUGAAUUAUGGUCUUGAACAGGGUUUUGUGUGAGGUACACCAAGGAAAAUGGGUUGUUCUUGUGGAAUCCCUGUUCUUUUGCUUACUUUUUCUGCCUCUGAGGACAGUCAAGCUGCCAGAAGAGCUGCAGAGGAGGGUAUUUAUGUUCUCCCAUGGCAACACAGAUCUGCUGGUCACGAAACACCUACAGAUGUCAUUCUGAAACUGCCCAGCCUUUAAGAUGGCUGUAAACUCCAGGUUGGACAAUUUUCAGCACCGUUUCCAGAAUGUUCAAAUCUAGCUCCGCAGGAAAUUUUACUACCACGACUCUUUCAUCUCUCUCCUGGUUUGAAGAUAAAUGAUCCUUGGACUCUUCUGGACCUGCAUAAAUCACAAAAGCAAUCUACUAAGAGAGCUGCCUGUGGCACCGACUUCAGCUGGAAUUGAAAAGGACAGUCAAAAAUAUCCACGGAAUGUCCCAUGAGGGUCCAACCUGAUGGUGAUGGCACCCAAAGCACCAGCGACGAGGCACAAGGUGAAACCCCCCCAUGCUCUGCUCUCACUUGAGAGAUGACUAUGUGGUGGCACCGGCACCCAGCUCCUGCACCGCCAGAGCAAACGUGCCUGGAUUCAGAGCUCCUUGUAAUUCCGGGACAUCUGCAGAGAUCAUUCGCAGUGUCGCUCCUCAUUAGCUGAGGUGUUAUCUUGAAACUGGAUUUAAGGCAGCUCCCUGAGAUGCUCAGCUCCUUCCAGUCUGAUGCGGUGCUUCACGUCCCAUUUCCAGUCAUACAACGAUGAUCCAUGGCGAAAUCAUUUCAGCUAUGGAAACGGGCACAGCUGAAUGAUGGCCUUUCACCACAGGACUUUGUGGGAGACAACAAAUAGAGGCAGCCUGGUGAGCGAGGAGCCCGGUGAGCGGGGAGAUGAUGGUCAGGAGAGGAACGAGCCUGGAAAGUGACAGAUGGACAGGCUUGACGUGAGGAGAUGACAGUCAGGAGUUGCAGGUGUGGAAGAGGAAAGGCAAGGAAGGCAGCAUGCUUUGCUGUAUCAAAGACUGACUUCUGCACGGUCUUUGUGUCCCCGUUGAUACUGGGUCACUGGGAUCAUGGUGGAAUGAUGAUGAAAUAUCUCUUUUCAUCAGGUGAUUUUUACCAAUAAAUAUGUGUGUGUGUGUGUGUAUGUGUGUAUAUAUAUCAAUGAGCUUCUGGGCCUGUUGAAUCGCAGGUGGAAGGGAGAAAUGGUAGAGUCCAGCGACAGGUCCAGGAGGCUUUGCUGGCAUCCAACACCAGCUCUUGUGCUCAGAUGGCUCAGGUAGGUGCAUUUCUCCUCAGAGCUGGAGGACUGCAGGCCCACAGGGAGCCCAGCACAUCUCGAGGGUGCAGUUUUAUGAAAAUGUCCUUUUCCCUUUACUAAGAGGAUGGUUACAAAACAUACUGAAAUUUGUUUUUUACCCUUUAGAGCUUCCAGAACGUUGUGCUCAUCUAUCUUAUGUUAUUUUUCUAUUUGUGGUUUUGAGGUCAUGGCUUGAGAAAUGUUAACUCUUCGAGUGAAGUUUGGAGCCAAAACCAAUUCUUCUUGGAGGAAAUACCAACAUUUCUGCUAGUGCCUCAUAGCUGAAAAACAGAGAUGAAUACAUGGCAAUUGAUUUAUCUUGCUGAUCAAAAGGUGCCUCAGCAAAGUUACGUACUCAUGGAAAAUGCUGUGUGAUGGAGUUGGGUGGAUAGUGCAAACAAACAGAAACUUUCCCACAAAUAUUUGCUUGUCUUAAAUUAAUCUGCUUGGCUCUGCUCAUGGCUCUCCAGAGUUUAUUUUCCACAAAUAUUCUAACAACAGCUCAUUGGCAGCAAUACACACUGAAACCGCUCAAGGUAACAUCUGAGGAAACUAUUUUUGAAGGUCUGUCUUAAGGCCAGCAUCCCCCAAACCCUGCUACAUCUGUGCCUCUAGACUUGGCAGCCCUGAGGAAGGGGCAGCGCAUCAUCUGCCUCCCUUGGAGGAGGCCAGACGUGGGGAUGUGGCUCUGAGUCACGGCUCGGAUCCUCAUUUCCCUCCUGACAAAGAUGAUGAUUAACCGGGGACAGCUGGAGAACUGAGGCUGUGUUUCUGUGAGAGAAGGACUCUAGGAAGGCUUUUUCUUGCUCCCUGCCUUUGCGUUGUAUGAGGGCAGGAGAACCAGGGGUGUCCCCUCCUUCCUCUUCCCUGCAUGCAUUCAGCUCAGCGCUGAAUUCCUGGGUUGUCUUGUGACCACAGGAUGUGGCAAAGUACCCAAGCAUGUGGGUGAACAGUCUUGUUGCACCCCAAUUUUGCCAUCUGAGAUGGCAAAAAGGCAACAGCAUGAAGGCUUGGGGAAAAAUCUUCCUUCCCUUCCUGGGACACUUAGGAGAGCAAGAUCCUGCUGGAGCAGGCUGCAACAUGAAUCCUCCAGGCAGUUUAUAAAUAGCUGGAGAGAAGUGAACAACAUUAUUCUAAGUUCACGAACUAGUCUUCAUAUUCCUUGCAGCAACCGCAAGGCAGUUUGAGUCAGACUUGUGAAUACGAGGCUGGGAGCAUCUUCUCUCUUCUGUGCUGGAGCAGGGUGCAGGUCCCCGAGGGAGUCCCCGCAGCACACAUACCUUGCACUGCAGAGCCUGAGGCCCUCACGUCUGGCUUCAUUUCAAGUCAGAAUAAAAUUCCCGAAAUUCUCCUCAGAGCCAAAGGGAAGAAGGCUCUGGAUAGGUCAAAACAUAUAAUUUUUAUUGCGGCUCCUUUAUUUUCUAUUAUUAUAAAAUACAAGAUGUUCCAGAGUGAAAUAUAUAUAUGUGUAUGUAUAUAUUUCACUGUUUGCUGUUUCCUUUUUUUUUUUUUUUUUUUUUUAAUUCUGCUUACCCAUUAGGGGAACGUGCACAAUUUUGAAAGCAGUUUGAUGGAAGCAUGUAUUUCAUUGGGGAAGAGUUUUGAACUUAUCUCAUCAGCUCUAUUAAUAGCACUUAGCACUUACUCGGGUAUCUUAACCAGGGUUUCUCAAAGCGCAUUAUGAAAGUAUAUCAUUAGCCCUAUUCUAGAUCGAUCUGUCUAAAGCUGAGCCGGAAUGUUUUUAAUUUGACUUCUAAAUCACCACUGCCAAUAUGUCUCUGUGAGCUACACUGGUACAGUCAGGAAAUGAAACAAUUUCUCAUGAUGCACGUCAAAAUUAGCCAGCACAAACUGGCUACGGGCCCCCAGGACAGGACAGUCCACUGCACCAAGAAUCAGGAAAUUCUUCUCUGCCACCACGUUCCCACAGGGCCAUUUGGAAGUCUCUGCAUUGCGCAUCUUUUUUUUUUUUUGUCCCUUUUUAGGCUGCUGGCUGCAUUGAGACUGGAAGUCCUCUGGAAAAAGCACUGCGGCAUCCCUCGGCCAUCGGUGGCAGUGAUACGGAGCGGGUUGCCCCUUCCACAGUGGCAGACCACAGAUUGAGAAGAGCUGACUACCCUUCCGGUGGCAGUAAUGCAAUGACGCUGCUCAGAGCGAGGGAGAAAAACACCGGCUGAUUUGCUUUGCGUCAUGUUCUGACUGCUCGGCUUUGCUUUGAUUGGAAUGGAAGGCAGACUUGCUACUUGAGGACACUCCGUAAUGGGCUAGCGGGGAGCAACAGCCCCUUGGAUGUCCUCUGCCCUGCUGGUAAUGCCUGAACGAAACAGCCAGAUCCACCUGGGGCCACCAUCCUGCAAAUGCCUGCUCACACGCAGCAGCAGCUGCGGUUUUAGUGCAUGCUCAGAAUGGAAAUCCCCAAAUCUGCAAACUGCAGAGACACGGCAAAAUCCCCAAAUCUGCAAAGCCACCUCUGCAAACCAGGGCUGCUUCCAUUCCUGACGUUUCGACAGUGGCUGAGAGUUGUAUCCACAGAGUAAAGCGUUCAUAGAUGUUUUUGAACCUUGGAUGAAAAAUUAAUUUAAUUAACAAGAGUCAGAUGAUGAUCCUGGGGCUCAUGAGGGUUCUCUCUCUGCCAGUGUCAAACUGGAGGAAGGGGAGGAGGUGGCAGUCUCUCUUUAACAACAUGUUAAACCUUUUAUACAGUGGCUAAAGUGUUUUGUUAGGUGUGGUGUAAACCACGAUUACAGAAAACAAAGUAUGAGAAGAUGUUUGAAGUGACAACAGUGACAGCAAACCCCACACCAGCUGGUGAUGUGGCACAAACAUCGCACACCCAUGGCGCAGAUGGAGCAGCCCGGGUGCCCUUGGUGAUGGAUGCCCAGGCAUGAGGGAUUUCACCGGGCACACAUCUGCUAGGGUACGUUGCUGCAUAAUGCCGAUGGGGUCUGGUUUUCUUUUCCAUAAUCUCCGAAGUAGCCUCGAUUCAGAACGAAUGAAAGCAUCGAGUGUCUCCAAAAGCUCCAAAUAACUCGUGUUUUCUCAUCUAUGCCCUCUGCUCUGCACAUUACUCUUUUGUUUGUCUUCCCUCAGCGUGCAUCUAGAGGAGAGAUUACAAGUUGCACCAUCAGCAGCCAAGCAAGGUCUGAGCCACAAGGAAAGAUCUGAGUCAUCUCCCCGAGAGAGUAUUCUAGCCAUACAUCAUUGUUUGUUUUCAGGCAAACCAGUACAAUUAUGCAACAUAAAUUCUUUUAAAGCAUUUGGGACUUCAGUUCAAUUUAAAAUCCUGUAGGUUUUAUGGCCAGGAUGAGUGAUUACAAAGCGUGUGCAUACAAAUGAAGACUUAGGAAGAAGCGUGUGGGGAGGAUGAAAGGGCACGCGGAGCCUCGUGCACUUGCUGGGCAAGCUCCGGCCAGGCUGCAAAGAAGGGGGGAGAUCUGAAGGGCCCACGUCAAAGGCAGGUUAUGAUAUUUAUGGCUCUGGAGCACGGUUUCACUCAGCCGGUGCCAUGAGCGUUUUCUGUGAUUGCAAUCUCCUACAAACGCUUUUGUAUGGGCUUCAGCAGAGCCAGGUGACUUUGCCUGGAUUACCUCCUGAUUUAUGCUGCCUUGAAUGGGGAUGAGAAUCUGAUCUAUUUAAAAACAAGACUCGGCUAUAACAGAAAUAGAGGGAGGCAUUAAAAUGUCUGCCAUCUGAAUAUUUCAUCACUCCAGGAAAGUGCUAAGCAGGGGCUAGAGGCUCAGAUGCCAUCCUCGGGCAGAAGGACAGGCUGGCAGUGGGACACCGAGCCCACCCGUCCCCUUGCUGUGUCACCAAGUUCCCAUGGGGUAAUCGGAGCCGUGUCUGAGCUGCUUUUACCCCAGCCUCUGCCUCCUUUCCCUGCUGAGGCAGCACCACAUCCCUGCCGUUUAAAGACUUGGUGCUUGCUGCCCUGCGAGCUCAGCCUCCACCACAUGGCCCAGGAGCUGCAGACCCAGGCGGGGAACCAGGACCUAGAGGCACAACAAGCAGAAAGCAGAGAUCCCACAGCUUGGUUUAACGUGCUUCCUUCGAGACAUACUGUCAUGGUUUUUGGAGGCCUGGCAGUUAAAUCAGUUUACAACGCCAGCUAACUAUUUAUUUUUUUCUUCUUCUGUAGAGAGGAGUGGAGUCUACAGUGUUUUGUUCCCUCUCUCUUAUUUAGGUGAAUACACCGAUAGGUUUGUGUCUCAGUAUUCCACUUUUACUUACACAGAUGUAAAUUCCACUGCAGCAGGAGGGAUUAUUGACAGCGGAUCUGAGACGAUCCAAGGCCAGACUCUGACCUAUUGAUUUUGCCAAGAUUGCACAGGACGUAUGUAGUUCAUUGCAGAAUACAGUCUUUGUUUGUUUUGUUUAUUGCUCAAUAUAUAACAAUGUGGAAUAAAGAACGACGCCAAACUGCAGAAA